rnacentral:lncRNA from 1 species
UGCCCCUUACUGACGUCUUAUCUUGCAGGCCUUCAGAUGCUAGUAGUGUUCUGCCAAGAUCAUCCACCAUCACUGUCCUGAGGUUUGACGGCAUUUUGUUCUCCCGGUGUGGUAGCAUACAUUCUGCUUGGCUACCAGGUAGCAGGACAGCACAAGGGAGGCCGACGCCAACGCAAUAGCCAGCGCAGCAUGCCACCAUUUUUCAG